AGCAGGCAGAGGUCAGUAAUCCAGGGCAGUGUUAGAAAGGUACAGAACGGCAGGCACGCUCAGGGUCAGGGAAGGCAGAAUGGUCAAAACUGGAAGAACUAGAUAACAGGGACCAGAAAGAACAGGAUUACGGGAAAAACACGCUGGUUGGCUUGUCGAGACAAGAUGAAUUAGCAACAGAUUAACAGAGAACACAGGUAUAAAUGCACAGGGGAUAAUGGGGAAAAUGGGCGACACUUGGAGGGGUAUUUCCCCAUUUACCAUAAUGAGAUACAACUUUAGAUUCUAUUUAUCAUAAUAUAUGUUUGUAAACUUACCAUUAAAAAAUACCAUAAUGAUUGAGUGACCAUAGAGCUGUACUAUGACAUUUGCAUUGCUAUCCAAUUAUUCUCUACUAUUCGACCCGCUAAAACGUCCCUCCAUCCCAAUUUGGGUUGUCGUUCCGGUGACUAUACUGCUUUCACACACAAGUUACAGUGCAUUCGGAAGGUAUUCAGACCCCUUGACUUUUUCCACAUUUUGUUACGUUACAGCAUUAUUCCCCCCAAAAACCCUCAACACACAAUACUCCAUAAUGACAAACCAAAAACAAGUUUUUAGACAUUAUUAACAUAAGUAUUCAGACCCUUUGCUAUGAGACUCGAAAUUGAGCUCAUGUGCAUAAUGUUUCCAAUGAUCAUCCUUGCAAUGUUUCUAUAAAUUGAUUGGAAUCCACAUGUGGUCAAUUCAAUUGACUGGACAUGAUUUGGAAGGGCACACACCUGUCUAUGUAAGGUCCUACAGUUGACAGUGCAUUUCAGAGCAAAAACCAAGCCAUGAUGUUGAA
rnacentral:lncRNA from 1 species